UACAGUAUGGUGUAGCGGUAACAUCGGUGCCUUUCAGAAAAAGACGAAACAUCGACCGCACUAGCCCGGCUUCGACUCCCCGUACUGGAA